UGGCCUGCUGGGUCUACGAGGAGACCUUCCACGGCCUGGCCCUCCAGCGUUUCCUGGAAGCGGCCGGGGUGCCGGUGGGCGAGCGUCCGCUGCCCCGCGGGCAGGAGCCGUGGUCCAAGCGGCUCGAGGCGGCGGCGACCGCCAUGGUGUCGAAGACCUGGCCCGACUUCUGCGCGGUGCACAUGACCUGGGGCGCGAUCAACGAGCUGACCACGCUCA
rnacentral:misc_RNA from 1 species